GCUACGACAGUCUGGUUUAUCUUUAUAGCCAUCGUGCCUGAAGAAUGUUAGACACGCGCAAUGUCAUUUCAUCCGCGCCACCACCUGCGACGAGAAUCAAUUUAGAAAAGGAUUUUGCUGACAUUCUUGAAGAUAAACGAGAGAUCAGGGAAAAAGUUGAAAUUCUAUUUGAAAAUCAAGGUUUUCCCUGUUUUCCAGAAUUAGGAAAAAACAAAAUCGAAUUUUUUUGACAUCCCUAAAUUCAAUAAUCUUAUACACAACUCUUAAAAUGAAAAGAAUUUAAUGUCUGACUAAACAUGUUGUUUACUACUGAAUUGACAAAAUUUACAGAAAUUGUAAAUUUCCCACGUCUGACUAUAACUGAUCUUUACUACUGAUAACAAAAAGUCACAAAAAUUUAAAUCAUCAUCUUUUCCAACUAAAACGAAUCACAAAAAUUUUAAAAAUCUACAAUAAAAAAAAUAUUUUCCUUUAUAUUCAGUCAAAAAAUAAAAAUUCCAAAAUACAUUCAAUCGAAACGAAAGUGGAAACCGAAAAAAAGAUUGCGUAUAGUUUUGUACCUUUUUCUCUGUCUCUCUCGCUCAUUAAAUAGGAGAAUUUAAUCGAAUUUUCUAAAGAAGAAAAAUCAACAGGUAUAACACACACAUAGAGUGAGAGUGAGAGAGAGUGAGUGGAGGCGGGAGAUUAGAUUUUUGUUCGAAAAGAAGGAAAACGGAACAAUGAAUUUUGCGGCUGACAGUGUUCCAAAGCAUUGUUAGUCGGGUUUUGUGUACGAGUGGCUGCCCCUGAAUUCGACUUAAUUUUCCUGAGAAAAGAGAUUAAGCGAAAAUGGCUGCUGCGCGCUUUACUCUCUCGCAAAUGCCCUGCACGCAUCCUGCUGGAAACCUCUUAAAAUAUUCGAAACUCUGUUACAAUACAGUAAUAGUAUAUAGUUGUAUUUCUAGUGCAAGGACCCGCAUCAUUGUGCAUUGUACUUUUUUUUGAAGAUCUCUUGUACAGCUCAUUUCAAAAACUUAUAAUUCCAGAGUAAAUUUCCAAGACAAAGAAAAUAGUUU